GACGAACGCUGGCGGCGUGCUUAACACAUGCCAGUCGAACGGAAAGGCCCUGCUUUUGUGGGGUGCUCGAGUGGCGAACGGGUGAGUAACACGUGAGUAACCUGCCCUUGACUUUGGGAUAACUUCAGGAAACUGGGGCUAAUACCGGAUAGGAGCUCCUGCUGCAUGGUGGGGGUUGGAAAGUUUCGGCGGUUGGGGAUGGACUCGCGGCUUAUCAGCUUGUUGGUGGGGUAGUGGCUUACCAAGGCUUUGACGGGUAGCCGGCCUGGGAGGGUGACCGGCCACCAUGGGACUGAGAUAACGCCCAGGCUCCCACCGGAGGCAGCAGGGGGGAAUAUUGCACAAUGGGCGGAAGCCUGAUGCAGCAACGCCGCGUGCGGGAUGACGGGCUUCCGGUUGUAAAACCCUUUCCCCUGUGACGAAGCGUUAGUGACGGUAAUGGGUAAAGAAGCCACGGCUAACUACGUG
rnacentral:rRNA from 1 species